rnacentral:rRNA from 1 species
AGUGAACGCUGGCGGCAGGCCUAACACAUGCAAGUCGAACGGCAGCACAGAGGAGCUUGCUCCUUGGGUGGCGAGUGGCGGACGGGUGAGGAAUGCAUCGGAAUCUGCCUAUUUGUGGGGGAUAACGUAGGGAAACUUACGCUAAUACCGCAUACGUCCUACGGGAGAAAGUGGGGGACCUUCGGGCCUCACGCAGAUAGAUGAGCCGAUGCCGGACUAGCUAGUUGGCGGGGUAAAGGCCCACCAAGGCGACGAUCCGUAGCUGGUCUGAGGGGAGGCUCAGCAACACUGGAACUGAGACACGGCCCAGACUCCUACGGGAGGCAGCAGUGGGGAAUAUUGGACAAUGGGCGCAAGCCUGAUCCAGCCAUGCCGCGUGUGUGAAGAAGGCCUUCGGGUUGUAAAGCACUUUUGUCCGGAAAGAAAAGCGCUCGAUUAAUACUCGGGUGUUAUGACGGUACCGGAAGAAUAAGCACCGGCUAACUUCGUGCCAGCAGCCGCCGUAACAC